AGAGUUUUGCUCCUGUUGCCUAGACUGGAGCGCAAUGGCGCGCUAUCAGCUCACUGCAACCUCCGCCUCCUGGGUUCAAGUGAUUCUCCUGCCUCAACCUCCCAAAUGCGGUAAUAGAGGCUGGAGAGGGUAUGUAAUUUUGCUGAUGUCAUGAAGCUAGACUCAGACCCUCUCUGAAAGUAGAGGCUCCAGGAACAAAAUUUGAUGUCUUCUUUCCAUCCUGGGAAUGGACAUAAUGAUAGUCGGAGGUCUGUGUUUUAUGCCAAUGAAAAGUGGGAAUUUUUAGACCCAACCCCUAAGGACCUAGAGGAGUCCAUAGUACAGGAAGAAAAGAAGGAGCCAACCCCUGAAGGAAACAAAGUUUCACAAAGGCUGAAAAAUUUGCCUCAUACUUCCCUCAAAGCCAAACAGUUGCUUCAAACUUCAUCUACAAAUAGAGGAUUUGUACCUCAAUUGAUGGAAUAUUGGUAAUUCUUCUACUCCAUUUGAAGAUGAAAAAUAAAGGCCAAAAUCAUAGGCCUGGCACAGAAGCUGGAUAAUGAAGACAGCUCCGGAGGAACACAUAGAUACACACACAUAUAGACACACACAUAUAUAAAGUACACAGACAUAUUAUUUUUAAAGUUUAUUUUUUAAAGUUUUAAAGUUUCUAAAAUGAAAGCUGGCCCUGCCUCUCUCCCAGAGUGAGCGGAGACAGCGGUUGCAUGAGCAGCUUUCCUUGUGAGGCCACAGGUCCCUCUGGACACGCUGCUGCCUGACCAUGCCUCCUUUCCCUUUCAGCUUUCUCAUAGACCAAUGGGCUUGGAGCAUUAAGGCCAUACCCCUAUUAUGCAUUCUAGUGCGACCUUGUUUACACCUCCCCUGGCUCAGUCACACAGCUGUGUGGUAGGCUACUAGAAGUGUUUAGUAGUUGUCACUGGGAUCAUGC
rnacentral:lncRNA from 10 species